CAACUCGCCUGCAUGAAGUCGGAAUUGCUAGUAAUCGCGGAUCAGCAUGUCGCGGUGAAUACGUUCCCGGGCCUUGCACACACCGCCCGUCACACCAUGGGAGUCGGUAACACCCGAAGCCGAUAGUCUAACGAAAGAGGACGUCGUCGAAGGUGGGAUUGAUGACUGGGGUGAAGUCGUAACAAGGUACC
rnacentral:rRNA from 1 species